GGAUGUUAAGGUUAUCUGGCUGCAGUGUCUGUCGUUUUAUUGAUAGGUUGAUUUGACUUAACUGCCUAGCUAGUUUUGAGUGUCCCCUUCUUCCCUCACUGUCCCCUGUGUUUCACUCCUGAACUGUGUGCUAAAAGUUGAAGACAAUGACUCUCCCUGGUCGAGGAGGAGCUGUUCUACAGCAUGUCAGUUUAUAUGUACAAUGCAUCUUGAUCACUGUCA
rnacentral:snRNA from 1 species